rnacentral:rRNA from 1 species
AUUGAACGCUGGCGGCAGGCCUAACACAUGCAAGUCGAACGAGUGGCGGACGGGUGAGUAAUGUCUGGGCAACUGCCCGAUGGAGGGGGAUAACUACUGGGAACGGUAGCUACUACCGCAUACCAUCGGAUGUGCCCGGAUGGGUUUAGCUAGUUGGUGGGGUAAAGGCUCACCUAGGCGACGAUCCCUAGCUGGUCUGUGAGGAUGACCAGCCCCACUGGAACGGAGACACGGGCCAGACUCCUACGGGAGGCAGCAGUGGGGAAUAUUGCACAAUGGGCGCAAGCCUGAUGCAGCCAUGCCGCGGGUGUGAAGAAGGCCUUCGGGUUGUAAAGUAAUUUCAGUGGGGAGGCGGUACCCGCAGAAGAAGCACCGGCUAACUCCGUGCCAGCAGCCGCGGUAAUUC